rnacentral:rRNA from 1 species
UAUGUGAUCGUCUCUCGCAUAUCAAUAAGCGGAGGAAAAGAAACUAACAAGGAUUCCCCUAGUAACGGCGAGUGAAGCGGGAAGAGCUCAAAUUUGAAAUCUUAAAGGGUUUCCCUUUACGAAUUGUAGUUUAAAGAAGUGUUUUCUGUUGAGGUUUUGGUAAAAGUUCUUUGGAAGUAGGACAUCAUAGAGGGUGAGAAUCCCGUAUUUGACCUUUACUUUCAACUUUGUGAUACACUUUCAAAGAGUCGGAUUGUUUGGGAAUGCAGUCCAAAAUGGGUGGUAAAUUUCAUCUAAAGCUAAAUAUUGGCGAAGAGACCGAUAGCGAACAAGUACCGUGAGGGAAAGAUGAAAAGUACUUUGAAAAGAGAGUUAAACAGUACGUGAAAUUGUCAAAAGGGAAGCGUUUGACACCAGUGUUGUUUUUCUGAAAAUCAAUUAAAGAACUGUUUAUGCUAAGUUGUUUAGACUUUAUCAGCUAACUGUUUAGUUUUGAGCUUUUCUUUAAUGCACUUUUCAGUUAACAAGUCAACAUCAAUUUCUUUUGCUGUAAAAAAGCUUGAGGAAGGUGGCUUGAGAUUCGUCUUAAGUGUUUAUAGCCUCUUGCCUAUGCAGUCGGAGAGAUUGAGGUCUGCAGCGUAGAUCCUUCGGGGCUAAAUGCAUUUGUGCUAAGUUAUAGCAUUUUAUAGACAACUUGUUGACUAUGAUUUGUCUUGUAGCUUACUCGCUUAUGUUAUUUUACCUACGCUUAGGAUGUUGAGUAGCGACAUACGCAC